AGCAGCCGCGGUAAUUCCAGCUCCAAUAGCGUAUAUUAAAGUUGUUGCAGUUAAAAAGCUCGUAGUUGAAUUUCGGGAUUGACACAUCGGUCGUGCCUUAAGGGGUAUGAACUGGUGUAGUCAAUUUCUCACCUUCUGGAGAACCGCGAUGCCCUUAAUUGGGUGUCGCGGGGAACCAGGACCUUUACUUUGAAAAAAUUAGAGUGUUUAAAGCAGGCAUUUUGCUUGAAUACAUUAGCAUGGAAUGAUAAAAUAGGACGGCAUGAUUCUAUUUUGUUGGUUUCUAGGAUCACCGUAAUGAUUAAUAGGGAUAGUUGGGGGCAUUAGUAUUCAAUUGUCAGAGGUGAAAUUCUUGGAUUUAUUGAAGACUAACUACUGCGAAAGCAUUUGCCAAGGAUGUUUUCAUUAAUCAAGAACGAAAGUUAGGGGAUCGAAGACGAUCAGAUACCGUCGUAGUCUUAACCAUAAACUAUGCCGACUAGGAAUCAGACGAUGUUAAUUUUUAAUGUACUCGUUGGCG
rnacentral:rRNA from 1 species